UACAGAGGUCCCGAGCGUUGUUCGGAUUCACUGGGCGUAAAGGGUGCGCAGGUGGCGCUUCAAGUUUGAUGUGAAAGCUUCGGGCUCAACCCGGAAAUGGCAUUGAAUACUGAAGUGCUGGAGGUUUGGAGGGGGGACUGGAAUUCUCGGUGUAGCAGUGAAAUGCGUAGAUAUCGAGAGGAACACCAGUGGCGAAGGCGAGUCCCUGGACAACACCUGACACUGAGGCACGAAAGCUAGGGGAGCAAACAGG
rnacentral:rRNA from 2 species